GACGGACGCUCCUGAUGGGAAGUUUCUUAAGCAAAACUUUUGUGUUUUGGUUUUAGAACACAACUUAAACUGCAAUUAAAACGUCGACGCUGAUGUUGCCAUGUCGACCAGAAGCGUGCGUGCACGCGAGGUGCUGCUAGUAUGGCCGGAGGGUCGAAUGACGCAGGGCGUACUCUACACUACGAACGGGAACUAACAAAGCAACUGAUCGAGGAGCUGCUCCAGACUGACCUAGUGACCCUAGUGGACACGAAGUAUCGUCUGAGCCCUGAACCCACGUGGGCUUGUUGAACGCAUGCACUAGCCGUUAAAAAACGCAGACCACAUAAACAAUAGUAAUUAACCCAAAGAUACUCCCACCGCAUGCAGGCAGGGACAUUGGGUCUGUGCUGCGUUAUCUUGCAUGUUAUUACCUCGGCAACGGAGUUGCAGGGAGGUAAUGUGACAC